rnacentral:lncRNA from 1 species
UACUUCAGUCACUUUCAGAACUCAAAUGCAAAUCAUCGAUGCAGAAGUUUCUUGCAAAACAACCAUUGUAUUUGUAUCACAAUAAAAAAACAAAAAAGCCACCAUUGUAUCAGGGACUGCCAUUUGGUGGCCUACUUUACUUUCUAACAAACUGGAUUAAAAUUUAUUUUGGGAGCUUGUCUUGUGAACUGAGUAAUUACAAUAAAAAUUCUAACAAUUUCUGGAUACGGCAUUUAAUCCUCUGAAAAUGUCUGUUGAAUGGGAAUAUGGAUGUCAAUAGCACAUACC